AUUGAACGCUGGCGGCAUGCCUUACACAUGCAAGUCGAACGGUAACAGGUCUUCGGAUGCUGACGAGUGGCGAACGGGUGAGUAAUACAUCGGAACGUGCCCGAGAGUGGGGGAUAACGAAGCGAAAGCUUUGCCAAUACCGCAUACGAUCUCAGGAUGAAAGCAGGGGACCGCAAGGCCUUGCGCUCACGGAGCGGCCGAUGGCAGAGUAGGGAGUUGGUGGGAUAAAAGCUUACCAAGCCGACGAUCUGUAGCUGGUCUGAGAGGACGACCAGCCACACUGGAACUGAGACCCAGCCCAGUCUGCUACGGGAGGACGCAGUGGGGAAUUUUGGACAAGGGGCGCAAGCCUGAUCUAGCCAUGCCGCGUGCAGGAUGAAGGCCUUCGGGUUGUACACUGCUUUUGUACGGAACGAAAAGACUCUGGGUUAAUACCCUGGGCUAAUGACGGUACCGUAAGAAUAAGCACCGGCUAACUACGUGCCAGCCGCCGCGGUAACAC
rnacentral:rRNA from 1 species